rnacentral:lncRNA from 1 species
ACAUUUUCACUUACCUUUCAUUUUUUGACAUUUUCAUCCUUAAUUUAUAUGUUCAUUGCAAAAAUCCCGGCGCCUUCAAAUAAGUAAUUGGAUGUUUAAAUAUUUGAUUCGAUAGAUGCAAGAUUCCCAAAUACUACUAGAAUGUUCGCGAUAUGCCUCUCUUUCACAAGUUUAUACAUAUAUACAAGGUUUUCAGUACUUUUAAAUGAAUUCAUGUCCCAAGCCAUUAUCGUAUUAAUAACAAGACAAACAAACCAAAAGCAAGAGGCAAACACGAGUGGCAGAACGAAACAAGGAAGAAAAGACAGAAAAACUAUACAUUCCACACUUAAAUCUAAAAAAGAUCUCCAAUUCUCAAUUCCAAAACUAAGAGGUAAUUUAAAGACUCGAUGAACCGAUAUUCCAAUUUGGUUUUCACAGAUAGAACGGGUUUGUAAAUGGACGGCGGUGAGAUCAGAAGUACCUGCAUCAUAGACCCAAAAGAACAAACAAGGAAUAAAGAUUGUAUAAAUUAAACAAUCCUCAAAUUAAUGAUUACCACAAUUCCUCAGUACAUCAGGAACACGAAGAGUAAUCUGUAAAAGAUUAUAUUCCUUUAUUGAAAGGUGAAUGACAUUU